GAAUAAUUACAUACUUCGUUUCUUCCACUGAUUUCUUGGCAUAGUGAUCAUGAAUGAAUCCAAAAUGCUACUUUAUAAGGUCUCCCAUAAGAGAAAUUUUUCAAUUUGAUGAAGGAGAGAAGUUGCUCACAGAAAAAAAAUUAUCAUCAGUGUUCCUAGGGAUUUCUGUGAAUAGUUUCCAGCUGCCUACCAUACCAACUUUUGUAGAAUUUUAACGUCUUGCCUGAAGCAACUCGGAGGCCCUAAUACCUUG